rnacentral:rRNA from 1 species
CCGGAUAACAUUUUGAACCGCAUGGUUCGAAAUUGAAAGGCGGCUUCGGCUGUCACUUAUGGAUGGACCCGCGUCGCAUUAGCUAGUUGGUGAGGUAACGGCUCACCAAGGCAACGAUGCGUAGCCGACCUGAGAGGGUGAUCGGCCACACUGGGACUGAGACACGGCCCAGACUCCUACGGGAGGCAGCAGUAGGGAAUCUUCCGCAAUGGACGAAAGUCUGACGGAGCAACGCCGCGUGAGUGAUGAAGGCUUUCGGGUCGUAAAACUCUGUUGUUAGGGAAGAACAAGUGCUAGUUGAAUAAGCUGGCACCUUGACGGUACCUAACCAGAAAGCCACGGCUAACUACGUGCCAGCAGCCGCGGUAAUACGUAGGUGGCAAGCGUUAUCCGGAAUUAUUGGGCGUAAAGCGCGCGCAGGUGGUUUCUUAAGUCUGAUG